rnacentral:tRNA from 1 species
GGAUCUGUAGCUCAGUUGGUUAGAGCAACCGGCUCAUAACCGGUCGGUCCUGGGUUCGAGUCCCAGAGGAUCCA